GACAGAGGGUGCAAACGUUGUUCGGAAUUACUGGGCGUAAAGCGUGCGCAGGCGGUUCGUCGUGUCUGAUGUGAAAGCCCCGGGCUUAACCUGGGAAUUGCAUUUGUGACUGCACGGCUAGAGUGUGUCAGAGGGGGGUAGAAUUCCACGUGUAGCAGUGAAAUGCGUAGAUAUGUGGAGGAAUACCGAUGGCGAAGGCAGCCCCCUGGGAUAACACUGACGCCUCAUGCACGAAAGCGUGGGGAGCAAACAGG
rnacentral:rRNA from 1 species